rnacentral:rRNA from 1 species
CCUACGGGAGGCAGCAGUGAGGAAUAUUGGUCAAUGGGCGCGAGCCUGAACCAGCCAAGUAGCGUGAAGGAUGACUGCCCUACGGGUUGUAAACUUCUUUUAUAAAGGAAUAAAGUGAGGCACGUGUGCCUUUUUGUAUGUACCUUAUGAAUAAGGAUCGGCUAACUCCGUGCCAGCAGCCGCGGUAAUACGGAGGAUCCGAGCGUUAUCCGGAUUUAUUGGGGUUAAAGGGAGCGUAGAUGGGUUGUUAAGUCAGUUGUGAAAGGUUGGGGCUCAACCGUAAAAUUGCAGUUGAAACUGGCAGUCUGGAGUACAGUAGAGGUGGGCGGAAUUCGUGGUGUAGCGGUGAAAUGCUUAGAUAUCACGAAGAACACCGAUUGCGAAGGCAGCUCACUGGACUGCAACUGACACUGAGGCUCGAAAGUGUGGGUAUCAAACAGGAUUAGAUACCCCUGUAGUC